AUGUCCGGUCCUGGCUGGCCCCUGGCAUCUCCCAGGCAGCUCCUGUCUCCACCCUCACCCAUCCGUGCUCUCUGUCAUCCAUCAGAUGAGCUGGAUCCCCCGAGCUCCGGCUCAGCCAGCCCAGGCAUUCCCAGCUCCGGGGAAACAUUCCCAGCUCCUUUCCAGAGGAGGAUUAACCCCUUUUUAUGGGAUGGUUCGUGUUCAGCCCUUCCCCAGGCCUGCAGCAAGGCCUCACGUGCGUUUUUGAGGAGCUGCUCCGAGGUUCCUGCAGCAGAGCUGUGCAGGGAUGGUUCCCUUAGUCACAAUCCCCGUGGGAAGCGGCCGUGGGAGGAACAGCUCGGUGCCGGUCACAGCCCAUCCCCGCGCUGCCUCCAGCUCCCUCCCGACUGUCUGACCCUGGAGCUGCCCUGGGGCAAAUCUGAGGGCAGAAAAGGCCGGGAGCCCGCGGGGGGCUGUCCCCGACCCCCGUGGGUGCAGCACCCNNNNNNNNNNNNNNNNNNNNCACUCGGGCAGGGCAGAGGAGGCGGAGGGAGAGGAGGAAGAGGAGGGAGAGGAGGAAGAGGAGGGAGAGGAGGUGUUCAGCGUGCAGCAGGUGCCGAGGCGAAGCUCGCCACAACAAAUCGCUGUGAUUCAGCCCCGGAGCAUCUGGCAGCGAGCGGUGACGAGCCGGGGGAGCCGGUGUCACGCAGCCGCUCCGCCGAGGCGUCCCGGAGCCCCCGGGAACCGGAGCUGCCCCGCACGGAUCCGCUCAUCCGGGGGGGACGGAGCUCCUCAGCUCCCGUUUCCCGAGCCCCCGCUGGCCUCAGUGGCUCUGCUUCUCUCUCGGUGUCACAGCACAGGACACAGCCGUGUCACCUCCGUGCUCUCUGGGAGCUCCCUGCGCUGUCCCAGCCCUCCCGCACGGCUGGAGCAUCCCUCAGGCGGGUGGGAAGGGCUGUGCCAGGUGGGGGGAUACACCUGGGUGGGUUUUCAUGGGGGGACAGCACCCCUGGGCAGCACACCAGGUCUCAGAGGUCUCCUGCUGCCAGCUCCCCCUGCACUGCCCUGCAUCUCAAAAAUCGUGUCUGUCCGACCCUUCUUUCAUCACAGUUCCAGAGAAUUUCCUCCCUGGUUAUUUGAAUUUAAUUUUCUGUUGUCUUACCAUCCAUCUCCUGACUUUUAGGAUCAGGGCACAAGCUCCUGUCAUCCCUUUGCGGUCCCUCCAGUGGUUGCUGUCUCUGGGAUUGAGGUUGGAUGAUGGAAUAAAUCCUUCCAAGUCAUCA
rnacentral:lncRNA from 1 species